GACUGGUCCGAAGGCAGUGAGUUUUCUCCGCCGAUUUCUCAGCCAAUUACAGGUCGACCUUCUCGUCUACCCCGCUCACUGCUGCGCUUGACUGGUCUUUU
ensembl:misc_RNA Y_RNA Y RNA